rnacentral:rRNA from 1 species
AACGAACGCUGGCGGCAGGCCUAACACAUGCAAGUCGAGCGCCCCGCAAGGGGAGCGGCAGACGGGUGAGUAACGCGUGGGAAUCUACCCAUCUCUACGGAAUAACGCAUGGAAACGUGUGCUAAUACCGUAUACGUCCUUCGAGAGAAAGAUUUAUCGGAGAUGGAUGAGCCCGCGUUGGAUUAGCUAGUUGGUGGGGUAAAGGCCUACCAAGGCGACGAUCCAUAGCUGGGCUGAGAGGAUGAUCGGCCACACUGGGACUGAGACACGGCACAGACUCCUACGGGAGGCAGCAGUGGGGAAUAUUGGACAAUGGGCGCAAGCCUGAUCCAGCCAUGCCGCGUGAGUGAUGAAGGCCCUAGGGUUGUAAAGCUCUUUCACCGGUGAAGAUAAUGACGGUAACCGGAGAAGAAGCCCCGGCUAACUUCGUGCCAGCCGCCGCAGUAAGAC